UUUCCGUAGGUGAACCUGCGGAAGGAUCAUUAUUCAUAUAUGGAACACAUAAGUGUUUCCUGACCCAAAUCCUCUUUGUGUACUUAUCCAUGUUGCUUUCCCAGGUGAUUGGUUUUACUAGUUGUUUAACCCUUCCUGCUAGUUGAGUUAACUUUACUAUGUAGGCUCCUGGGAGAGGGCCUAUUCAAAGUAAACUAUUAAAUCAGUAGUCUGAGUUGGCCUAGUGUCAUAUCUUUUUAAAUAAAUUAAAACUUUCAACAACGGAUCUCUUGGUUCUG
rnacentral:misc_RNA from 1 species